GAGGGGAGUGAAAUAGAACCUGAAACCCUGCACUUACAAGCUGUGGAAGCACAUUUCUUGUGUGACCGCGUACUUUUUGUAGAACGGGCCAACGAGUUACGUUAAGUAGCAAGGUUAAGCACUUAAGGUGUGGAGCCGUAGCGAAAGCGAGUUUUAACUGAGCGUUCAGUUACUGGACGUAGACCCGAAACCGGGCGACCUACCCAUGAGCAGGAUGAAGCGAAAGUAAAAUUUCGUGGAGGUCCGAACCCACG
rnacentral:rRNA from 1 species